rnacentral:rRNA from 1 species
UACGUAGGCAGCAAGCGUUGUUCGGAAUUACUGGGCGUAAAGAGUGUGUAGGCGGUGCUCUAAGUCUGUCGUGAAAUCUCCCGGCUUAACUGGGAGGGUGCGGCGGAAACUGGAAUGCUAGAGGGUGGGAGAGGAAAGCGGAAUUCCUGGUGUAGCGGUGAAAUGCGUAGAUAUCAGGAGGAACACCGAUGGCGAAGGCAGUGUUCUGGGCCAGUACUGACGCUGAGGAGCGAAAGCGUGGGGAGCAAACAGG